rnacentral:rRNA from 1 species
CACGUAGGGCGCAAGCGUUGUCCGGAAUUAUUGGGCGUAAAGAGCGUGUAGGCGGCCAGAUAGGUCCGUUGUGAAAACUGGAGGCUUAACCUCCAGCUGUCGAUGGAAACCAUCUAGCUAGAGUCCGGAAGAGGAGAGUGGAAUUCCUGGUGUAGCGGUGAAAUGCGCAGAUAUCAGGAAGAACACCCGUGGCGAAGGCGGCUCUCUGGGACGGUACUGACGCUGAGACGCGAAAGCGUGGGGAGCGAACAGG